ACCCUCAUUGACCUGCUUGUCUUCACCUAAAGCCUCCUCCUAACUGAUUUUAGCAGGAAGAUGGAGGACACUUGGCAUGCCCAAUAAUUAAUGUUUCCAAAGAUCAUGGCAAAGGUCAGAGCAAGGGUCAUCUGAUUUCUUUCAAAUGCUUGCCUCCCAUGGAAAAUUAGGGGAUUUGCAUUUCUGUGACUGGUUGUAAUUGGAAGUGAAGACACUUGGUGUGCUACAAGCAAAUGAGAUGGUGCUGCAAGAUUUGCCUCUUCACCAAAACAUUUGGAGAAGAAGUGAAAUCCCACCCAGCAUCUUGGAAAAUCAAGUAAACUAAGAAUACCAAUGCAUAUGAAGUAUACAACAAAAUAGUAUGGUAUCAGCGUUUGGUCCUUAUUAUUGAUCCUGGGAUGGAUUUGAACCAGUGACUGAGAUGGAAGGAUCCUGCCACCAGUGUCCUGAAACAACAUCCCCUCCCUAUUGUCACCAAUGCAAGACUUGACAUGAAGGAUGUCAAAAUUGUCAAAGAUGACCGGCGCGAGCCCUACUGGUGGCAAAGGAGAGGAACUGAAAUUACAUGAAGGGUAGCCCAGUUCUUCCUUCUCAUUGGAAGUCUUCUACAAGCAGGCUUGUUGACUGUGUGAAUG